rnacentral:misc_RNA from 1 species
AGAUGAAGAACGUAGCGAAAUGCGAUAAGUAGUGUGAAUUGCAGAAUUCAGUGAAUCAUCGAAUCUUUGAACGCACAUUGCGCCCCUUGGUAUUCCAUGGGGCAUGCCUGUUCGAGCGUCAUCUACAACCCUCAAGCCCUGCUUGGUGUUGGGCGUCUGUCCCGCCCCCGCGCGCGGACUCGCCCCAAAUCCAUUGGCGGCGGCCCUUGCCUCCCUCUCGCGCAGCACAUUGCGCUUCUCGAGGCGUCGCGGGCCGCGCUCCACGAAGCACGCAAACCAGUCUUUGACCUCGGAUCAGGUAGGGAUACCCGCUGAACUUAAGCAUAUCAAUAAGCGGAGGA